rnacentral:pre_miRNA from 1 species
CAGCCGAUGUCAUUUUUGUGAUUUGCAGCUGGUUUCAUUAGUAAAGUUGCAUAGUCACAAAAGUGAUCAUUGGAAG